rnacentral:rRNA from 1 species
GAAAGCGUGAUUAAUACCGGAUAAUGUCUCCGGACCAAAAAUUUAUUGCCCUUGGAGCGGUCUGCUUACUAUUAGGUAGUUGGUAGGGUAAAGGCCUACCAAGCCAAAGAUGGUUAGCGGGUGUGAGAGCAUGGCCCGUCUCACUGGGACUGAGACACUGCCCAGACACCUACGGGUGGCUGCAGUCGAGAAUCUUCCGCAAUGGGCGAGAGCCUGACGGAGCGACGCCGCGUGAUGGACUGAAGGCCCUCGGGUUGUAAACAUCUGUCGUAGGGGAGGAAAUUUUGACCGAUCCUAGGAGGAAGCACAGGCUAAGUUCGUGCCAGCAGCCGCGGUAAUACGAACUGUGCGAACGUUAUUCGGAAUCAUUGGGCUUAAAGGGUGCGUAGGCGGCUUUGUAGGUCAGAUGUGAAAGCCCACGGCUCAACCGUGGAAUUGCGUUUGAAACCACAAAGCUUGAGGGGGUCAGAGGAGAGCGGAACUAAUUGUGGAGCGGUGAAAUGCGUUGAUAUGAUUAGGAACACCGGUGGCGAAAGCGGCUCUC